CUCCAGUAACAAACCUCACAUUUCUGUUUGUAAUAUCUAAAGAAUCAAUUCUAAAUGCACUUAAUCUGUUUCUGUGAGGUCUCCACUCACCCACAGACAUUUAACCAAUCAUUACUGAAGCUGCUUCUAAUGCUCUAAAUGCCUGAUGAGCUUCAGGCCAUGGCUAUUUAAUUAUUGAAGAAGUGUUUUAAGAAGUGACAGAGAAACAUUGCCUUCUUCCUUGAUGUAUUACACUCUUACUGUGGCCUGAUCCAGAAAACAAGGAGGUGAAUGUAUUUUAUUCCCAUGAUCUCUACAAGUCUGUUCACACACACUGAAGAUCACUCUCCAGAGUACGGCCCUUCCAAGCCAUUAGAACCAGGAGUUGCAAGGCCAGGAGAGGAACCCACCACGUACAUACAAAUAGCAAUGGGAAUGUCAUCGCUGUCACCUCCAACAUUUCUCCAAAGGAGGACUGUACUCCUCAACAGAAGGCUGUAGUCAAGCAGAAAGCAAGGUCAGGAGGAAAGGCAGCAUAAAACUCCACUGGCAGCCAGCAUGAUGGUUUUGUUUAGAGCUCAGUUUGAGUCCAAUCUUUUGUAUGAGAGCUUAGUAAAAGCUGAAACAUUUGAGUGGAAUGUUGUUGUUCUAGGUGACUAAGUAACUUCCAGCAUUUAAACUCAGACAGCUGAAGUUCCUCUCUUAACUGGGUCUCAGUAGUUUCCAGUCUGAUAAAGCUGUGACAACUGGGUGAGGCUAAAUCUUGAGCUGCACCACUGUUCAUCAUUAGCAAAUCUACCCAUUCAUUUUGUUUAUUAUGGACUACGGGUUAUGAGUUAAUAUAUUUUGGGAUGUCCUCUGUCUGGAAGUAAAUGUUAUUCUUUUUUCAUACAAAAUCAGGUAUUACUGAGCAGAUGUAAUAAAAAUAUUUAAACAGAUACCUGAAUUGCA
rnacentral:lncRNA from 1 species